GAUGAACGCUGACAGAAUGCUUAACACAUGCAAGUCUUUGGCGAAGCUGUGCUCGCACAGCCUAGCCAAGGCGGACGGGUGAGUAACGCGUAAGGAACUUGCCCUGCAGUCAGGGAUAACAGACGGAAACGACUGAUAAGACCUGGUAAAGUCAGGCGGACUCAUGUCCAGCCUGAUGAAAAGAGGUGCUGCAGGAGAGCCUUGCGUCCUAUUAGCUUGUUGGUGGGGUAACGGCCCACCAAGGCGAUGAUAGGUAGCCGGCCUGAGAGGGUGGACGGCCACAAGGGGACUGAGAUACGGCCCUUACUCCUACGGGAGGCAGCAGUGGGGAAUAUUGGACAAUGGGGGCAACCCUGAUCCAGCAAUUCUGUGUGCACGAUGAAGGUUUUCGGAUUGUAAAGUGCUUUCAGCAGGGAAGAAAAAAAUGACGGAACCUGCAGAAGAAGCGACGGCUAAAUACGUG
rnacentral:rRNA from 1 species